UUAAUUGAAACCAAAUAGAGGUAUAUUACUGUUAAUAAUAAAAAUGAAUUAUAUUCCAAUUGAA
rnacentral:tRNA from 1 species